rnacentral:rRNA from 1 species
AUUCUGGCUCAGGAUGAACGCUGGCGGCGUGCUUAACACAUGCAAGUCGAACGGGAUCCAUCAGGCUUUGCUUGGUGGUGAGAGUGGCGAACGGGUGAGUAAUGCGUGACCGACCUGCCCCAUACACCGGAAUAGCUCCUGGAAACGGGUGGUAAUGCCGGAUGCUCCGACUCCUCGCAUGGGGUGUCGGGAAAGAUUUCAUCGGUAUGGGAUGGGGUCGCGUCCUAUCAGGUAGUCGGCGGGGUAACGGCCCACCGAGCCUACGACGGGUAGCCGGCCUGAGAGGGCGACCGGCCACAUUGGGACUGAGAUACGGCCCAGACUCCUACGGGAGGCAGCAGUGGGGAAUAUUGCACAAUGGGCGCAAGCCUGAUGCAGCGACGCCGCGUGCGGGAUGACGGCCUUCGGGUUGUAAACCGCUUUUGAUCGGGAGCAAGCCUUCGGGUGAGUGUACCUUUCGAAUAAGCACCGGCUAACUACGUGCCAGCAGCCGCGGUAAUACGUAGGGUGCAAGCGUUAUCCGGAAUUAUUGGGCGUAAAGGGCUCGUAGGCGGUUCGUCGCGUCCGGUGUGAAAGUCCAUCGCUUAACGGUGGAUCUGCGCCGGGUACGGGCGGGCUGGAGUGCGGUAGGGGAGACUGGAAUUCCCGGUGUAACGGUGGAAUGUGUAGAUAUCGGGAAGAACACCAAUGGCGAAGGCAGGUCUCUGGGCCGUUACUGACGCUGAGGAGCGAAAGCGUGGGGAGCGAACAGGAUUAGAUACCCUGGUAGUCCACGCCGUAAACGGUGGAUGCUGGAUGUGGGGCCCGUUCCACGGGUUCCGUGUCGGAGCUAACGCGUUAAGCAUCCCGCCUGGGGAGUACGGCCGCAAGGCUAAAACUCAAAGAAAUUGACGGGGGCCCGCACAAGCGGCGGAGCAUGCGGAUUAAUUCGAUGCAACGCGAAGAACCUUACCUGGGCUUGACAUGUUCCCGACCGCGGCAGAGAUGUCGUUUCCCUUCGGGGCGGGUUCACAGGUGGUGCAUGGUCGUCGUCAGCUCGUGUCGUGAGAUGUUGGGUUAAGUCCCGCAACGAGCGCAACCCUCGCCCUGUGUUGCCAGCACGUCAUGGUGGGAACUCACGGGGGACCGCCGGGGUCAACUCGGAGGAAGGUGGGGAUGACGUCAGAUCAUCAUGCCCCUUACGUCCAGGGCUUCACGCAUGCUACAAUGGCCGGUACAACGGGAUGCGAC